rnacentral:rRNA from 1 species
GGAGUUAGCCGGUGCUUCUUCUGUGAGUGAUGUCCUUCCUGCCGGCUAUUAACCCGCAGGCCUUCUUCCUCACUGAAAGUGCUUUACAACCCGAAGGCCUUCUUCACACACGCGGCAUGGCUGGAUCAGGGUUGCCCCCAUUGUCCAAUAUUCCCCACUGCUGCCUCCCGUAGGAGUCUGGGCCGUGUCUCAGUCCCAGUGUGGCUGAUCAUCCUCUCAGACCAGCUACGGAUCGUCGCCUUGGUGAGCCGUUACCUCACCAACCAGCUAAUCCGACAUAGGCUCAUCCGAUAGCGCGAGGCCCGAAGGUCCCCCGCUUUCCCCCGUAGGGCGUAUGCGGUAUUAGCCUGGGUUUCCCCAGGUUAUCCCCCACUACCGGGCAGAUUCCUAUGCAUUACUCACCCGUCCGCCGCUCGCCACCAGGGAGCAAGCUCCCCGUGCUGCCGCUCGACUUGCAUGUGUUAGGCCUGCCGCCAGCGUUCAAUCUGAGCCAGUAUCAAACUCUGA